rnacentral:rRNA from 1 species
GAAGAACCUUACCAAGGCUUGACAUGAGGGCGAUCGUCCCGGAGACGGGGCUUCCAUUUUUUGGCGCUNUUACAGGUGGUGCAUGGUUGUCGUCAGCUCGUGUCGUGAGAUGUUGGGUUAAGUCCCGCAACGAGCGCAACCCUUGUCCUGUGUUGCCAGCACGUUGUGGUGGGGACUCGCGGGAGACUGCCGGGGUCAACUCGGAGGAAGGUGGGGAUGACGUCAAAUCAUCAUGCCCCUUAUGUCUUGGGCUUCACGCAUGCUACAAUGGCCGGUACAGAGGGCUGCGAUGCUGUGAGGCGGAGCGAAUCCCUUAAAGCCGGUCUCAGUUCGGAUCGGUGUCUGCAACUCGACACCGUGAAGUUGGAGUCGCUAGUAAUCGCAGAUCAGCAACGCUGCGGUGAAUACGUUCUCGGGCCUUGUACACACCGCCCGUCACGUCAUGAAAGCUGGCAACACCCGAAGCCCGUGGCCUUA